CAGGCAGAGUGGACAGUGAGAGAGAGACAGAGAGAAAGGUCUUCCUUUUGCCGUUGGUUCACCCUCCAAUGGCCGCCGCGGCCGGCGCGCUGCGGCCGGCGCACCGCGCUGAUCCGAUGGCAGGAGCCAGGAGCCAGGUGCUUUUCCUGGUCUCCCAUGGGGUGCAGGGCCCAAGCACCUGGGCCAUCCUCCACUGCACUCCCUGGCCACAGCAGAGGGCUGGCCUGGAAGAGGGGCAACCGGGACAGAAUCCGGAGCCCCGACCGGGACUAGAACCCGGUGUGCCGGCGCCGCUAGGCGGAGGAUUAGCCUAGUGAGCCGCGGCGCCGGCCAACUAUAAUUAUUUUUUAAAGCUUAUUGUGGUCUGAUGAUAAGUAUUUUUAGUGCAUGUUUUACUGAGCUUCUAUAAAUGCCAUCUCAUAGUUUUGUGUCAAUGGACAGAAACCAAAGUAAAUUUCAAAUAAUAAAGCAA